rnacentral:lncRNA from 1 species
AGGACAAGGGAGCAGAAUCAGCUCUGCCGUCUAUGAACUGAUUUUGAAGAAAGAAAUUCACCUCUCUGAGUCUCAGUUGCUUGAUCUGUUAAAUAGAAAUGGAUCCUAUUAACACAUAGUAGGAAAAUAAACAAGUUACAAUGGUGAUUAAGGGUCUCAAACCAGGAAGACAGGAGACAAAUCAGAUCAUAUUACAGGUCAAGGAAUCAUAUCACCCAAGUGUCAGUGGUCAUACUGUGGUGGCUUUGAUGCUGACAGCUAGGCCACUGGUGUUUCAAAUGCCAGCAGCAUGACCCAUGGUGGACAGAUUUCAAGGGAGCUUCCAGAAUAAGACAGACUAGGAAG